UUUACUAUAUAAACAGUAACAAGUUGGAGAAUUGAGAUCACAGGCAUUGUGUUGGUUGCGGCGUUGAUUCAGCUAUCAAGAAGAGGUAUAGAGCAUCUGAGAAGAAAGAGCACCGAUAUAUUCCGUGAAUUAUGAUGCUCCCUGUGAUGGCAGAAAUAGUUUGGUCGAUGGAAUCAGUGGUUUGCCAGAUGAAUUGUUGUGUCACAUACUCUCAUUUCUUUCGAUUAAACAAGCUUUCAUGACAACCCUUCUUUCCACGCGGUGGCCCCACUUUGCUAUUCACUCCCUUCUCUGUUUUUUUUUUUUUUUUUUUUUUUUUUUUUUCUCCUUCAUAUAUUUUGAUAAAUGUUAUUUUCUUAACCCUUUGAUAGUUCAAACUCACCAACUCAUCUAAGGAAUGGAAAUGCCCAAUUUUGGGUCUUGAUUGAAUUGCAACUUAUAUUUUGCAAAACGCGAGUCUUUUACAAUAGACAUUUAUACCGGCUCCUCAAAUCCAAAGCUUUUGAUUGCAUUAGUUUCUUUUCUAAUAUGCUGCAACCAUUUAGUUUGAUAGCUUGGUCAUUAUUAUAUGGACAAAUUCUAGAGUGGACUACCAUUGUGUCUUGCAUUACCUGCGUCAGAGAGCAAGAAUAUUGAUGUAGAGCUUGUACACAAAUGCCGAAGGUUGUGUCCGAUGAUGUUGACAUUCCUACCAUGCUAAUUUUUUUGCAAUUUUAUGAGUUUGUAAAUUUCCGCCUCUAUCAUUCUAUAAACCUGGAGUAUCCUCCCAGGCUUGACACUCGAUUGGAAGCUUUCGCAGCAGAUCUAUAUGCACUGUCAAGAUAUGCCAAUGUGACCAAACCCUCUGGACUGAUAUUUGAAGCUUCUCAGUUAGAUGAUUCUAAACAAGUGGAGUACAAGAGAAAAGGCACAGAUGGUGAAAAUGAAAAAUCUGAACUAAGACUUUCUCAACUUCACCACCAACUUCUUUCUAAUUUCAUUUCAUGUUUCUUUUCAAAUUAAAUUUAUAUAUAUAUAUUUUUUUUUUAAUAAUAUACGGAUGUUGUGCGCGUAACACAACAAAGCUUAUUAGACUUUUUUAUUGAUGCUAUAUCUCUUGAACUUAUUUAUGAAAUCAUUUAUAUGAUUGAUUUCUAUGUCAUUAUUUGCACGGUUUUGUCCUAAUUACUCAGGUACAAUAGGAGUCAUUGCUUUUUGUUAUUCCUGCAUUUGGUGGUACUGUUUCUUGGGUCGGAAAGGGGGUGCCUUUCGAUGAAUCUGACCAGAGAAUUACUCAUCAGGUUUGUGAUUAAGCAUAUCAUCUUCUAUGUACCAUAAAUUUUCAAGCCUUCCUUUUGUAUUCACCAAGCUAUUGCUUUCAUAUCUCCAACCACAGUGGAUAUUUGAUUGUGUGAAUACACGCAUAAUUUUGCCGACAUAAAAUUAUAUAGUGGGAAGGUAAUUUGUUUCCAUUUUCCGUGCUUAUUGUUUUGGGUUCGUUUGGGUUCUUAUUUGUUGUAGCAAUCUUGGUUGGAGUGUCCUAUAUUAUAUUCUGAGCAAAUUUGUGUUUUCUUCCAGGGAUAUCUUCUUGUGGAAACACAAAUCCACGCAUCCUUUUUUCUUUUCAUUUUGUUUGAUUAUUGUUUCUAGUUGAAAAUUUAAUUGUCUAAAUGUUAAAAACUUAAAAUGUUUCUUUUGUUAAUAGGGAAAAUUAUAAUCACAUUAUGGAGCAAUAAAAAAUCCAAAAGUUAUUUUUAAGAUAAAAAUAAAAAAGAAGUUAUAAAAGAAAAUAAAUGGUUAAUAGGUAUUGAUUUCACAUUAUAUCCCAGCUUUAACCAUUUGUCAUUCUCAUCACUACUCUAUUUACACAUUCUAGCGCGCUCUCUCUCUCCCCAUUUAUGAUCGGACCCAUUUAUCUCAUUUUCUGGUCAAAAUCUUGGUAACCGGUGGUGACACGAACAUUCUGGCGGUGCCAGGUAUUGAUUUCAUUGAAUCACGUCUCUUGGUUGUUUCUUGUUUUUUUUUUUAUAUUGUUCUGUUUCUUUUUUCUUGCUUCUUCGUCACUUAUUAUGUUUUUUGGUGUCGGACACCGGACACGUCUUCGAUUUGAAGUGUCGGUGUUACGACCUCUAUUUACUUGUUUACUUGUUGAGUGGUUUUUUAGUUUUCUUUCUUAUUUUUUAACUUCAAAUUUUUCUGUUACACAAGGAAGAAUGGAAAGUAAGCAUUCAAAGAAUGUGGGCAAUCCUUUCAACGAAUUUGCGUAUUUCAAAAAUCCUUUCAGUGAGUAUGCGUAUAAGGGAAAUCAUCUUAGAAAGAGUGAAGUUGAGGAGGAUUCUUGUCGUACUGGGAAGGUCUCGAAAUAUUUUCAGAAAGUCGAACACGAGUAUAAAGUGGAGCAUCCAAAGAGAGUUGUGUCUCGUUAUUUUCAGAAGAAACGUAGUAGGAAGGAUUCUGAUGACGUUUCUAAAGAUUUUUUAUGUCAAUACAGAACAUUUGAUGAAAACUUGAAAGUGGAAGACGAUACUUGUCAUAUUCGUAAGGUUUCAAAAUAUUCUCAGAAAGCUAACAAAAGUCUAAAAUGGAGACUCCAAAGAGGGUGGUAUUUCCUUGUUUUCUAAACUGUUCUACGAAGAGCAUUAAAGAAUUUUUAAGUCAAUUUAAAUAUCAAAGUAAAAGUGUGUUAAGUCUUAGGAAGUGUGUUAAGAAGAUUGAACAUGAAGGAACUGUUGAAGAGGAUUCAUCUCCUCUUCCUCCUAAGAUUUCCACAGACUCUCGAAAGAGACCGAAAGUUGAAAAGCCCAGGAAAACAGAGAAAAAGGAAGCCACUGUUCUUCUUUACGAUGAAUUCAAAAUGACUCAUAAGGAUUUUUCUGUUUAUGUUAACUUGUGUUUACUAAUUCAUAGGGAUUGGGAGUAAUUCAAUAAAACUCAACAUAUGCUAACGGUUUGCAUCUCUUUCAACAUGUAGUCAUCAAUAAGCUUCUAACAGAAGCGGAAGUUCAACACCAAAUUCUUUAUUAUAAUUUGCUAAGCAGGGCCCUCAAGAGGAUAAAUUUCAAAUAUGACAUUAUAGCAUUACGAUAUGAAGACGAUUAACAGUUUAGAAAGCCAAAAUAACGAACAAUAGCAGUAAACCUUUCUAAAGCAAAUAAGAAACAAUAUUUAUUAAUCACUAAAAUAGAAAGAUACAAUAUCAUAAACCGACAGUAAAACAUCGGUAUAAAAUAUAAGGGAUGCAAUAAAGAAAAACUAAGGAAAUACUUCGAUGAAUGUACCUUAACACCUUUAGUGCGGUUCAAUAGCAUACAUAUAACAGUCACCCUCCAUGGAUCAUGUAAAUGAUACUCUUAAAGAAGAGGCUCUUCAAGGAUAGGACGUGUAGAACGUGGAUUCACCCAAUUAUUAUCCGGCGUUUUCCUUUUGUAAGCCUCCCUACAUCUAUCAGCCUUUAUAAAAGGUUUAGUUUUUCUUUCGGAUUUUCUAGGCUUUUCAACUUUCGGUCUCUUUCGGAGUCUUUGGAAAUCUUAGGAGGAAGAGGAGAUGAAUCCUCUUCAAAAGUUCCUUCAUGUUCACUCUUCUUAACACACUUUCUGAGACUUGACACACUUUUAUUCUGAUAUUUAAACUGAUUUAAAAAUUCUUCAAUGCUCUUCGUAGAACAGUUUUGAAAACACGAAGAUACCACCCUAUUUGGAUGCUCCAUUUUAGACUCUUGUUCGUCUUUCUGAGAAUAUUUUGAAACCUUCCUUAUACGACAAGAAUCCUCUUCCACUUUCAAGUUUUCAUCAAAUGUUCUGCUCUGACAUAAAAAAUAUCUAGAAACAUCAUCAAAAUCCUUCCUACCACGUUUGUUUUGAAAAUAACGAGAGAUAACUCUCUUUUGAUGCUCCACUCUACACUCGUGUUUGACUUUUUGAAAAUAUUUCAAAACCUUCCUAGUACGACAAGAAUCCUCUUCAACUUCACUCUUUCUAAGAUGAUUUCCCUUAUACGCGUACUCACCGAAAGGAUUGUCGACAUACGCAAACUCGUUGAAAGGAUUGCCCACAUCUUUGAAUUCUUACUUUCCAUUCUUCCUUGUGUAACAUAAAAAUUUGAAUUUAAAAAGUAAGAAAGAAAACUAAAAAAAACCACCCAACAAGUAAAUAGAGGCCGUGUUCAGUAACACCGACAAUUAAGAUCAAAGACGUGUUCGGUGUCUGACACCAAUAAACAUAAUAACUGACGAAGAAGGAAUAAAAAAGAGACAGAACAAUAUAAAAAAGAAAAACAUGAGACAAAAAAGAGAUGUGUUUCAAUGAAAUCAAUACCUAACACCACCGAAAUGUUUCUGUCACCACUAAUCACUAAGAUUUUGAUCUGGAAAUGAGCUAAAUGGGUCAGGUCAGAAAUGGAGAGAGAGAGUGAGAAAUGGAGAGAGAGAGUGCGCGCGCUGGAAAGUGUAAAGGCAGUAGUGAUGGGAAUGAGAAAUGGGAGAAAUGGUUUAAGCUAUGAACCUUACCUACCUACCUACUAACCAAUUUAUUUUCUUUUAUAACUUCUUUUUUAUUUUCAUCUUAAAAAAAAACUUUUGAAAUUUUAAUUGUCUAAAUGUUAAAAACUUAAAAUGUUCCUCCACCACACUUGCAAUUUUGUUAACUACGAUGAAGAAGGCUACAUUCUCGACUAUGGAAAUUUUGCUAACUACGAUGAAGAAGGCUACAUUCUCGACUAUGGAAAGACUAUCAACCACUUGCAAGCUGCUGCCAUAAAGGAAUUUCUUCUGCUUUAUGGUGUUGGAAAAGAAGAAUCACUUCAGGGUUCUAUUACGUAUACUUCGGUAGAUUCUAAUGUCGAAAAAGAAACAUCUUGUGUGGUACAGACCGGAGAAUCAACAACGAAUGGCCAAGAAAAUAUCGAUACUGAAAUGAGUUUAUUUGAGAUGUCUAAUAAAAAUAGAAAGAUAUUCGAACCAUGAAGGUACCCAAGAUUUGUGGACCCACUUGGAUAAUUGGACGACUAUCUUACAAUGGUAAAUCUCUUUGGAGCAUUACGUGCGUCAAAGAGCAAGAAAAUUGAUGUAGAUCUUGUACACAAAAUCCGAAGACAGUAAUAUCCUAUCUUCUUCACAAUGAACCUGGUGCACGGAUGCACCUGGUUUAAGACUUAGCCGUGAAGAUGAAGAGGAUCAAGAUACAAGAGAAUGUAAAAAUCUCUUCAAAAAUCUCAAAUUCUUCUUGAUUAGGGAGGACUCCUCCACCUCACUUGUCACCUUUUGUUAACUACGAUGAAGAAGGCUACAUUUCCGACAAUGCAAAGACUAUCAACCACUUGCAAUCUGCUGCCACAGAGGAAUUUCUUCCGCUUCCUGGUGUUGGAAAAGACGAUUCACUUCAGGGUGCUAUUACAUAUAUUUCAGCAGAUUCUAAUGUCGAAAAAGAAAUAUCUUCUAGUGUGGUACAGACCGAAGAAUCAACAACGAAUGGCCAAGAAAAUGUCGAUACUGAUAUGAGUUUACUUGUGAUGUCUCGUAAAAAUAUUAAGAUAUUCGAAGCCAUGAGAUAUCUAAUAAGCACAAGCAGAAUGAGACUGAUCACAUCAACAGCGGAAAAUGAAAUUAGAUGAUGCUAAGGGUCAAAGGAGUUGAAGACUCUAGCUAUGACUUCAUUUUUGGUAUUGAAAUUAAGGCAAGAUGAAUGUGUUUUAAUUUUAAGGUAGAAAAAGCCUUAUAGCUCAAAGAGUUCAUGCAAGCGACUUUGUUUUUAUCGAAUCAUAAAGAGAUUAGCGGGGGCUCAAAAAUUUGAUUUGUUAGGCACGGGCUGGGGGGUCCUAUAUUUUUUCGGUACAAAUUCCACGGGAUAUCUUAUAUAAAUGUUUUCUAGAUGUCAAAACUCUUAGUUUAGUUGUUAAUUCAAGUUUACAUUAGUGAUAAUCAUGUUUAGUUGAUUAAUCACACUUUGAUUUUAGUUUGUUUUGAAGUUUGUUACAACUUUGUUAGAGUUUGUGCUUCAAGUAACCUAACACAUGCUUGUAAUAAGCUCAUUCCUUGUACAAUUUUUCAUAUCUCAAUAAUACAAUUCAUUUUAUCAA